rnacentral:rRNA from 1 species
GGCUACAUGAAGCUGGAAUCGCUAGUAAUCGCAGAUCAGAAUGCUGCGGUGAAUACGUUCCCGGGUCUUGUACACACCGCCCGUCACACCAUGGGAGCCGGGAAUGCCCGAAGUCGGUGACCCAACCGUAAGGAGGGAGCCGCCGAAGGCAGGCCUGGUAACUGGGGUGAAGUCGUAACAAGGUACC